rnacentral:ncRNA from 16 species
UGCUCAUCAAGAGUGGCGGAGGGAAUGGCCCUAUGAACCCACAGCAACCAUGGCCUCAUGGCCAACGGUGCUAAAUCCUGCAAUGUAAUGAUUGUAAGAUGAGAG